rnacentral:rRNA from 1 species
AUGAGAUGCCUAAGUUGGAACUGCCAUGGGCUUGGGAACCCAGCGGCAGUUCGAGAGCUUCGCAGUGUUGUGAAGCAAGAAGGGACCGGUCUCCUCUUCUUGAUGGAGACGAAAAUCCCGGCAAAAAGACUAGAGAAUCUGCAAGCUACCUUAGGUUUUGCAGGAUGUUUUGCAUUGAACAGUGCUGGUUUAAGUGGAGGUAUUGGUUUGUUCUGGUCAACUGAUUUUACUGUUGAUCUUAAGAGCUAUAGUUCUGGCCAUAUCGAUGUUAUGGUGCAGAAAAGUGACAUGAGCGAAGAUCCCAUUCGGUUCACAGGUUUUUAUGCUGCCCCUAGAGUAUCCGACCGUCACCACAGCUGGAGUUUUCUUCGCACCCUUAAUGCAAUUCCACACUCGGCUUGGUUGUGUGUUGGAGACUUCAACGAGACACUGUAUGCCUCGGAACACUUCUCACGCGCCGCCAGGCCUGAAUGGCAGAUGCGAGCUUUCCGAGAUGUCACGGAUGAAUGUUUGUUUCAGGACCUGGGAUGGACGGGUACUGAGUACACAUGA